rnacentral:rRNA from 2 species
GAUGUGUAGGAUAGGUGGGAGGCUUUGAAGUGUGGACGCCAGUCUGCAUGGAGCCGACCUUGAAAUACCACCCUUUAAUGUUUGAUGUUCUAACGUGGACCCGUAAUCCGGGUUGCGGACAGUGUCUGGUGGGUAGUUUGACUGGGGCGGUCUCCUCCUAAAGAGUAACGGAGGAGCACGAAGGUUGGCUAAUCCUGGUCGGACAUCAGGAGGUUAGUGCAAUGGCAUAAGCCAGCUUGACUGCGAGCGUGACGGCGCGAGCAGGUGCGAAAGCAGGUCAUAGUGAUCCGGUGGUUCUGAAUGGAAGGGCCAUCGCUCAACGGAUAAAAGGUACUCCGGGGAUAACAGGCUGAUACCGCCCAAGAGUUCAUAUCGACGGCGGUGUUUGGCACCUCGAUGUCGGCUCAUCACAUCCUGGGGCUGAAGUAGGUCCCAAGGGUAUGGCUGUUCGCCAUUUAAAGUGGUACGCGAGCUGGGUUUAGAACGUCGUGAGACAGUUCGGUCCCUAUCUGCCGUGGGCGCUGGAGAACUGAGGGGGGCUGCUCCUAGUACGAGAGGACCGGAGUGGACGCAUCACUGGUGUUCGGGUUGUCAUGCCAAUGGCACUGCCCGGUAGCUAAAUGCGGAAGAGAUAAGUGCUGAAAGCAUCUAAGCACGAAACUUGCCCCGAG